rnacentral:rRNA from 1 species
GCCAAAAAUCUAGCCUUCUACCUAGUAAACUUAAUUAAUUAAUUACACUAAUUAAAACAUUUUUAUAUUUUAGUAAAGGAGAUUGAACAACUUUUUUAGAGCUAUAGAAAUAGUACCGCAAGGGAAAGAUGAAAUAAAAAUGAAACAAAUUUCAAGCACAAUAAAGUAGAGAUAAACCCUCGUACCUUUUGCAUCAUGGUUUAACUAGUCAAAUCAAGCAAAACGAUUUAUAGUUUGACCCCCCGAAACUAAGCGAGCUACUUCAAGGCAGCUUUAUGAGCGAACCCGUCUCUGUCGCAAAAGAGUGGGAAGACCUUUAAGUAGCGGUGACAGACCUAACGAGCUUAGUGAUAGCUGGUUUCUCAAGAAAAGAAUUUUAGUUCAACCUAAAGAAUGAUUAAUAAUUUUAAAUAACCUCUUUAGAGCAAUUCAAUUAAGGUACAGCUUAUUUGAACUAGGGUACAACCUAGACCUAAGGGUAAUUAUUUCUACUACAAUUAAGUAGGCUUAAAAGCAGCCAUCUUCCAAAUAGCGUCACAGCUUUAUUGUUUUAUUAAAAAAAUACCGUAAAUAAUCAAGAACCCUCCACCUAUAUUGAGUACUUCUAUAUUUUUAUAGAAUUUUUAAUGUUAAAACUAGUAACAAGUAGCAAGACCUUCUCUUCAAUGUAAAUAUAAAUCAUAAAGGACACACCAACGACUAUUAACAUACAUGAAAACAAAUUAGCAACUUACAUGAAAAACCUAAUUUAUAUUAUGUUAACCUAACACAAGAACACUACAAGAAAGAUUUAAAGAAAAAGAAGGAACUCGGCAAACAAUAACCCCGCCUGUUUACCAAAAACAUCGCCUCUUGAUUAAAUAUAAGAGGUCCAGCCUGCCCAGUGACUUUGUUCAACGGCCGCGGUAUUCUAACCGUGCAAAGGUAGCGUAAUCACUUGCCCUUUAAAUAAGGGCUAGUAUGAACGGCAUCACGAGGGUUAAACUGUCUCCUUUUUCUGAUCAGUAAACCUAAUCUCCCCGUGAAAAAGCGGGGAUAAAACUAUAAGACGAGAAGACCCUAUGGAGCUUUAAACUAAGUAACACCAGCUUAUAUAUUUUAUACCCCCCCGAGCACCAACACUUAUUCUAGCUGAAUGUUAACCGUUUUAGGUUGGGGCGACCACGGAGUAAAAAAUAACCUCCACAUUGAACGGAAUUUUUCCUGAGCUGAGGGCCACUACCCUGAGCACUAAUAAAUUAACAUCUAUUGACCCAAUAUUUUGAUCAAUGAACCAAGUUACCCUAGGGAUAACAGCGCAAUCUGCUUAGAGAGCCCCUAUCGACAAGCAGGCUUACGACCUCGAUGUUGGAUCAGGGUACCCCAGUGGUGCAGCUGCUACUAAAGGUUCGUUUGUUCAACGAUUAAAACCCU